GACCCGCACCUGGUCGGAGAGAGAGCAGGGGGAAGGCGAGCGAGAGAGGAGGGCAGCUUUAAAGCUUUUACCACUGUGCAAACAGUAGGCUGAUUGCUUUUAAUGGGAUCAACUAGAGGCCUCUGUGAGAAUCAGCCCUGCCCUGGCCAAUACCGGGAUGUCGGGUGUGGGGGCCAAGGACAGCAGCUGAUAAGACUAGACAUGACCGGGGAGAGGGGGAAGAGAGAAGAGAGAACAACCGCACAACAGAGAACAGAUAUCAACGACCUGGCGUUACUAAGAGACCAGCCUUGAUUCAUCAGCAUAUAACGGGUUUCUAAGUCUGCACAGCUCUGUUGCUCAAUCAUGGCUUAUCAUUCUGUGUCAUGGAGUGGGCCACACACUGAAGAUCGGAUCAAUAACCUGGUCCACCUCUUCCCACACAUUGUUCGACCAGGCGAGGAUAGACACCUGACUGCAUCCUGGACUGGCGACAGGUUCCUGACUCUCCCAUAACUGCCGUGCAGCCCGAGGGCAGAUAUACCGGUCUGAGCCACUUCAAAACACUUCAUACACAGGGAAACUUUUCGUAUACACGUGUUUGUUCAUUUUAUGAAUUAUGAUACCUUUAUGUUGAUAUUUUCCAAUAUUCACUCCUUAUGACUUAAGAAUAUUGAGAUAUAUACAUUUACUAAGCUAUAGCCUUGAUUUACAUUUGAUUCAGUCCUGAUAUCUUUCAAACUGAGCAUUGUUAAAUUAAAUAUAGUAUUAUUUUAUUUCUUGAGUGUCAUUUUA